AACACUAAGCACUUCUUAAGCCAACAUCAAGGGCCCAACCCCAUAAAGAAUAUAUCCCAGCAUCCCACCAAACAUCUGGAAAAGUAGUGGAGUCCCAACACCAUUGCAGGAGAGAGCUGCGGAUGGGGGCUGAGUCCUACCUUGGAUUCAGGCUUGCCAUGGGAGCCAGACUCAGAGGAUCUCUUGGCAUCUCUGGUCCUGGUGCCCUCCUCUAAGGAGUAGUGUGUGCUCUGUGAAGGCCAUGUAGUCAGUGAAGACCCAUCUUUGAGGGGUCAAUUUAGAAGGCAGGCUGAAGGCACUGUGGAGGUGAUUUCAUCUGAGGACAUUGGCCUGGGCUCCCCCAGCAGUCAUCCUUGAUUGUGCUCAGGCCCUGUCCCUGUGAAGCAGCAUCCACCUAUACUCGGAUUAAAAGCUCAGCUCUUCUCAAGCCAGCAGACCUUUCUUUGGUCGUGCCACUGAAGCUCAGUUUCAGGCGCAUCCUACAUGCAUGAAGUAGCUGGGAAGGAAGACCUGGCCGGGCUCAGUGACUGGGAAGAAGCUGCGUUCCUGUUUCUGCUGCAAUCCAGGCCAUAGCCAGCUGAACCUAGCCUUUUACAGCAGGGAUGCCCUUUGAGCCUGGACUUCAGUGAGCCAAGGAGAGAGGUGAGGAAGACGAAGAAGAGGAAGCAGGAUGGUUUUGAGCCCUUGCUAUACACCAAGAAGUUCCUGGAGCAUACAUUUCUCACACAUUACUGCAUCCAGCCCCAGACUCAGGAUCAUCUCUGCAAACUAAAAGAACAGAACAUCCGCAGGAGAAAAUGAGAUCUGUCCCUGGCACAGGGCAAUGGCUGCAAGCUGGGAAUGCAGAUUCUGAAGAAACACACGAGUUCCCUCCCUUUGACUGUCAGACUGUUAAACAAGGGAACUCAAGACACUGGAAUUUCCCUGGGACUCUCAUGCUGGAAGAAGAAAAAGAACAUUGGGUCCCUGGUGCCGAAAAGGGACAACUUGUUUCCCAGAAAGUGAUCUCACAGAAUUCUAAUAAUUUGUCAGACCACUCUGCAAGAGAGUCGAGGACCAAUACAAUGAAGCGGACAUACUUUGGUCGAAACUGCUUAGCUACAGCACAGCACCUGCCCUCUAUUUAAACCUGAGCCCUCUUUCAAGACCCUUAAAAUAGUCAUGAUGCUGGUGGGGAGGGUCAUCACACCUUCUUGUUCCUCUUCUCAAGUGAAUAGAUCCCCAUUUGUGCUUCUUAC